rnacentral:rRNA from 1 species
GAUGAACGCUGGCGGCGUGCCUAAUACAUGCAAGUAGAACGCUGAAGGAAGGAGCUUGCUCUUUCCGGAUGAGUUGCGAACGGGUGAGUAACGCGUAGGUAACCUGCCUGGUAGCGGGGGAUAACUAUUGGAAACGAUAGCUAAUACCGCAUAACAGUAGAUGUUGCAUGAUAUCUACUUAAAGGGUGCAAUUGCACCACUACCAGAUGGACCUGCGUUGUAUUAGCCAGUUGGUGAGGUAACGGCUCACCAAGGCGACGAUACAUAGCCGACCUGAGAGGGUGAUCGGCCACACUGGGACUGAGACACGGCCCAGACUCCUACGGGAGGCAGCAGUAGGGAAUCUUCGGCAAUGGACGGAAGUCUGACCGAGCAACGCCGCGUGAGUGAAGAAGGUUUUCGGAUCGUAAAGCUCUGUUGUAAGAGAAGAACGAGUGUGAGAGUGGAAAGUUCACACUGUGACGGUAUCUUACCAGAAAGGGACGGCUAACUACGUG